GAUGAACGCUGGCGGCGUGCCUAAUACAUGCAAGUAGAACGCUGAAGGAGGAGCUUGCUCUUCUGGAUGAGUUGCGAACGGGUGAGUAACGCGUAGGUAACCUGCCUGGUAGCGGGGGAUAACUAUUGGAAACGAUAGCUAAUACCGCAUGACAACAGUUAUUGCAUGAUAACUGUUUAAAAGGGGCAACUGCUCCACUACCAGAUGGACCUGCGUUGUAUUAGCUAGUUGGUGAGGUAACGGCUCACCAAGGCGACGAUACAUAGCCGACCUGAGAGGGGGAUCGGCCACACUGGGACUGAGACACGGCCCAGACUCCUACGGGAGGCAGCAGUAGGGAAUCUUCGGCAAUGGACGGAAGUCUGACCGAGCAACGCCGCGUGAGUGAAGAAGGGUUUCGGAUCGUAAAGCUCUGUUGCAAGAGAAGAACGAGUGUGAGAGUGGAAAGUUCACACUGUGACGGUAUCUUACCAGAAAGGGACGGCUAACUACGUG
rnacentral:rRNA from 1 species